AGUUGGGGCCCCCUGGUCCAGGCGCCCCAGGGGCGAGACAGAAGACGGUGUCAGACGGAGACCUGGGUGCAAGAGCGGCCCGGAGCCGGGGGAAGAAGCCUGCCAGACUUUGGAGAUAGUUGCUUCGAAGUUGAAUUUGAGGUUGUAGGAGCCAGCAUCUGCAAAAUCUUGGUGGAGCCCUUUACCCCUUUGCAACAUGGCCCCAAAUCUGCCCCAGCUCAAGCCUGUCCUUCACCUCGUCAGCAUUAUGUGGAGCCUUGGGAAGACUGCACCUGCCUCUUUGGAUUCGCUUAAGGUUUAGAUGUGGAAACUAAACCAUAGAAGAGUAAUUUUCCCAUGAUGAUAAAGCAGCAUGAGAUCUUCAGAAGCAACAAUUUCUGCAAGAUACGACUUCUACAAAGAGUUGUAAGUUUCCAUCUAAUAAACACUGCCGGUUGAAAAAUUCAUAAUACAUGAAAGCAACCCCGAAGGCCAUGAAAUCAGACGGAUCUGGAGGAACACCCUCAGCCUUGUUGCGAAGAAAAACAGUUGUCCAGAUGAUCUUUGAAGUAAAGAAAAUAAUGAAAGCCAGUGAACACGGUCUAAGAAAAUUAAAACGGAUUAUCUUCCCCAAAAUGGGAUGAUUCAGUGUGCUGACACACACAAAAGGGGGUUCUCUGCCCUCCCCCCACCCCACCCUGCCCCAGGGCCCUGUGCAUGAUCUGUGCUUUGUUUUAGGAAACCUGCAUUUGUUUGGAAGUGUUUUAAAUGAUUAAGGAGCAGAGACGUGCAGGGUAACAAAUGAAGCAACCAAAGUUCUCUGUUUCAUUGGGAAUCAGCCCGACUUAAAAGUCCUACUGCGCUUCUAAUCAAAGUAUGAAAUACAGCGAGAGCUUGAAAACAGCAUUAAUCAUUAAUAUGGGGAAGUGCUUAUAGUUAUGAAUUCUUCAAGAGUUUCAGAAAACUUGCAGCACUUUUCCAGAUAAUACUCAGGAGGCUGUGUGUUUUUAUUUUUCUCUUCCUUAAGUCCCUUGUGUAAAGAAACAACUGAAAAUAGUGUCAGGGUCAAAGUCCUCUCAAGCAAGGAACGUGAGUUAUCCCUUCACAAACUGCUCUCAGAAAACAACAUACAAUGUAAGUAAUUUGUUUUUAAGUAACUAACAAGGCAUGGUAAUUUCUUACCUGGAGCUUCAGUAAAUGCCAGGUCGCUGGAAGCAGUUAAAAGGACUUAAAGGUUUACUUUGCCAUUCACUAAUUUGAGUUCAAUCAGUGUGUGUGCCUCUUCAGCAACUCUCCAUUGUGCAUUUAUUUUCCUCGGUGCCUUCAUUCUGAAAUUAGUAGUUAACCAACUGCAGGUUUGGCUUUUAGCUCAU